GAGGCUGUAGCUCAGCAGCAGAGAGCCCCUGCUUUGCAUGCAGAACGUCCCAGGUUCAAUCCCCAGUAGGAUCU